AGAAGAGAGCUUCCCGGACUCUGCAGCAUGGGAACAUCGACUGCUAAAGUUCCUGAGGGCGUCACUGGAGACUGUGGACGAUGAGGCUUGGACGAAGGGACUGAGCUGUGAGCUGAGCCAGUACCUGAGCAGCUCUCCCAGCAGCUCUGGAGAAAAGUCCUUCCUGUACAAGGCUCUGGGGACAGUGCUGGGAGCUUGUAAGGGAGUCCUCCAUGUCCAAGAGAAACUGCUGCAACACCUGCAGGAAGCAAAUGCAGAGGAACCACCUGAGGCCCAGGUGAGCUCUCCUCCAGCUUCUGUGAGUGUCCCUGCUCUGUCCCUGGGACAAAGGGCUCCGGCCCUGCUCCAGGCCUUUCCAUCUCCUCAGUGCUGCCGUUUCCCUCAGGCAAGGACGGGCCUGGCUACUGUGGUUGGCCAUGCCGGUAGGUUCAG